UUGAAAUCUUCUUUUCACAUUCUCUCUCUCCCACAAAACCCUAGCUUUCAAACCUCCCACCACCAUGAACUGGUGACAACCGUAAACCAUCAGAUCAUCUCCCAUAUGCUUGCUAUGAGUUUUUCUUUAUAUUAUUGUUUUUCAUGAGUUUGAUUUGUGGUUAUAUUUAGUUUUUUACAGAUCUGAACACUUGCAAUCGCCUGAAUAUUCACAGGAAGACCUUAUUGGAUCCUUCACCACAAAGGUUCCGAUCUCUAUCGCUGUCACCAUCGGAACACCACGAAGCAUAGAUCUAAGACCACGUAUAAUGAAAUCACCGAUCUUUUCUUUUCUCCCGCCUUCAAGGUUCACCUGCAUCGUCGUCGAUCUUCAUCUGUCGAUCUAAUCCUUCAACACCGAUCUCUUUCCUCUACGUCGAUCUCUUCCCUUACGAUACUCAUCCAGUUCCUUUUUUUUUUGUAUUCUUUUGUUGAACGUCUGAAAUCCUCUUGCUAAAAGUCAUCUUAAAUCUGAAGUCAGUUGUUUCCAUCGGAAAAACCAGAAAAAUGUCCACUACCACUCGCCGCCUCUCACUACCAAAAAAUAAAUUGGCCACUUUUAGUCUAAACUUCUGGUAACAUAUUUCUCAUGUACAAGUUUUGUUGUUAUUGUGGUCCUGGGAGUAUAUCCUAACUACAGGUGCUAUUUUGAUACCAUUUUUCGGUCUAUCCCCACUUAGAAGUCAAUAUAUCUCACUCACGAUGCCUCUGUUAUCCUCUCUAUUUACUGUGGCUUAAUGCCUUAUGGAUGUUGCUGCAUGUUUAUUUGUUUAGACAGAAAGAUGAAAAUUUUUAAGAUGUGUUUUCAUGUGAUUCAUCUUAGGAAUCAUUCCCAGGGUUUCUAUCAUUCCAGGGCAACCACGAGCUCGGAUCUUACAUGAUUCAUCAUAGUGAAUGCUAACUACAGAUAAGAAAGCUUCAUAGCCUUCUGAACUUUUUAAUGAUCUUAAAGAGAUGGUUGUUUCAUCUCCCAAUGAAACAUGUGCAUACUCUGAGAUCUUCUGGAAAGUUGAACAUCAACCAUUUGAACAAUAUAAAGAAAACUGCAAAGGAUGGUAAUCUGAUUCCAUUAUAUAGGUUUGCAGACCAAUAUUUUAGAAUUCUGCAAUGUGAAGGUAUAUUUUUUUAAGUGCAAUGUUCUAAUAGCUGCUUGAAAGUACAACGUUGUAAUAAAAAGAAUUGACAAAUUUCCAGUUAAAGUAUAAUGGCUCUAGGCACAAUAGACUAUGUCAAUAAUGAAUUAGAUAACUUUAUGUGAAUAUGGGAUGGAUACAUGUGGCUCUGGCUUGGUAACCUAUCAUGGUUGUUUGCAGGUUCAAAUAAUCUACGACCGGUCAAAUCUUAGAACUUUUGACUAAUGUGAUUAUUAUUUACAGUCAAUGCGAUCGUCACUGUUAAUUAUUUAGGUUAUGCAUGAGGCUGGAUCAAUAUGAUUAUGUAUCCAAGGUACAAGUGUACCUGUGUUCACAUUAUGCUAAGAAAGCCCUUUAUGUACUACACAUGCGAUGGUUCAUCUUGUUUCAAUGUGAUUGGUUUUGCAUCCAGGAUGGUUGAACCAAGCAAACAGACUAGAGAUGUCACAUGCAUGUUGGGUGUUAGUUGAAAUACAUUGAUAGUUAGGGCACAUUAUUGUUAUUUUAGAUAGUAUCAUAAUUGUAUAAACUUAGUGACAUUGAUUUCAUGAUUUGUAACAUUGUUAAAUGUAAGAAAUGACAAUUUAUUUUAAUUUAUU